AAGAGUCGGACACGACUGAGCGACUGAACUGAACUGAACUGACUGAAAAUUCAUCGGAUACAGAGAAAUUCUGAAUUGAAACAUUUUGAAAAGAAAUGUCAUCUUGCAACUUUCUGCAUUGUUACAAAUAAAACCAACGUAUCAUCAGUCUCAGGAGAAUCUUGUUAAGUGCUUUUAAAGAUAGAGAAAAGAAACGUGACCACAUUCACUGUUCAUGGCAGAAACAAAUACAAGAAUAACCUUCGCGGUCGCCCAGCCUUGGGUUGGAGUAUCAGUUACAAGGCGUCCUUGCUGGACAACCCUGGUGCCUCGCCCUCUCAGGGUUGCUCCGGCGCUGUGAGGAUCGGGGCUCCGCGCGCCGGGCCGCAGGGGACCCCCUUCUCCGGGGCCGCCGCGCCAGCCCCUCCGCCCCCGGAUGCGCCACCUCCCCACGUNNACAGCCCCACCUCCCCGCGUUGUCCAGGCCGGGGUCGGGACCCAGGCCCGGCGCCCCCGCCGAGUCACGGGACCCCUUCUUCGGGAACAAUGGGAUCGUAGAAAGCUGGAACUGGGCGUUGUUGGGAACUCGGAGGUCAUCAAGCCCCGCCUCCCACGCCCUGCAGGAAUUCCCUAGACGCUGGGCGAUCCUCAGGCUGUUCCCGGUACGGGGAGCUCACUCCCUCUCUCAAGGAAACCUGGUCGGCUUCAAGUUCCCGGCGCCUUCGCUGUGUGACAUUAAUCAGAGCUCUGGACCUCUCCGGUCCGAAGUAGCUUCAUCUGUACCCCGGGGGCGCGAUGAUAAUGCUUGCCUCCUGAGAUUGUUGAAGGAUAAGAAGACACCGGCAAAGCGUAAGAGCGCCAGAGUGAGGCAGCUGUAAGGAGCAGCACUACGGAUCCAUCUAGGUACAAAAUUCAGUUGUGGUUAAUUGAGUUAAUGGUUAAAUGAUGUAAGUCCUUUCCAUUUUUGGUCUCUGGAACUG
rnacentral:lncRNA from 1 species